rnacentral:rRNA from 1 species
GACGAACGCUGGCGGCGUGCCUAAUACAUGCAAGUAGAACGCUGAAGAGAGGAGCUUGCUCUUCUUGGAUGAGUUGCGAACGGGUGAGUAACGCGUAGGUAACCUGCCUUGUAGCGGGGGAUAACUAUUGGAAACGAUAGCUAAUACCGCAUAACAAUGGAUGACACAUGUCAUUUAUUUGAAAGGGGCAAUUGUUCCACUACAAGAUGGACCUGCGUUGUAUUAGCUAGUAGGUGAGGUAAUGGCUCACCUAGGCGACGAUACAUAGCCGACCUGAGAGGGUGAUCGGCCACACUGGGACUGAGACACGGCCCAGACUCCUACGGGAGGCAGCAGUAGGGAAUCUUCGGCAAUGGGGGCAACCCUGACCGAGCAACGCCGCGUGAGUGAAGAAGGUGUUCGGAUCGUAAAGCUCUGUUGUAAGUCAAGAACGGGUGUGAGAGUGGAAAGUUCACACUGUGACGGUAGCUUACCAGAAAGGGACGGCUAACUACGU